ACAGCAUCACAGCACCACCAUCAGUGCCAUCCCUGCAUCACCACCAACAGUGCAUCACCACCAUCAGUGCCAUCCGUGCAUCACCACCAUCAGUGCAGCACCACAGCAUCACAGCACCACCAUCAGUGCCAUCCCUGCAUCACCGCCAUCAGCAUCAUCAGUGCAGCACCGCAGCACCGCCAUCAAUGCAGCACCGCCAUCAGUGCAGCAUCGCCAUCAGUGCCAUCCCUGCAUCACCAUCAGUGCAGCACCACAGCAUCACAGCACCACCAUCAGUGCCAUCCCUGCAUCACCGCCAUCAGAGCAGCAUCGCCAUCAGUGCCAUCCCUGCAUCAUCACCAACAGUGCAUCACCACCAUCACUGCAUCACCACCAUCAGUGCAGCACCGCAGCAUCACAGCACCGCCAUCAGUGCCAUCCCUGCAUCACCACCAUCAGUGCAUCACCACCAUCAGUGCAGCACCGCAGCAUCACAGCACCGCCAUCAGUGCCAUCCCUGCAUCACCGCCAUCAGCAUCAUCACCGCAGCACCACCAUCAAUGCAGCACCGCCAUCAGUGCCAUCCCUGCAUCGCCAUCAGUGCAGGACCACCAUCACCACCAUCAGCGUCGGCACCGCAGCACCACAGCACCGCCAUCAGUGCAGCCUCUGCAUCACCACCAUCAGUGCAGCACCACCAUCGGUGCCAUCCAUGCAUCACCACCAUCAGCGUCAUCAGUGCAGCACUGCAUCACUGCCAUCAGUGCAGCACCACCAUCAUGGCCAUCAGUGCAGCACCACAGCAUCGCCAUCAGUGCCAUCCCUGCAUCACCACCAUCAGUGCUGCAGUGCGGCAGAGCAGCACCGCCAUCAGUGCCAUCCCUGCAUCACCAUCAGUGCAGCACCACCAUCAGUGCAGCACCACCAUCACCACGAUCAGCAUUGGCACCGCAGCACCGCCAUCAGAGCAGCACCGCCAUCAGUGCCAUCCCUGCAUCACCAUCAGUGCAGGACCACCAUCACCACCAUCAGAGCAGCACCACCAUCAGUGCCAUCCCUGCAUCACCACCAUCAGUGCAGCACCGCCAUCAGUGCAGGACCACCAUCACCACCAUCAGAGCA
rnacentral:lncRNA from 1 species